UACGUAGGGUGCGAGCGUUAAUCGGAAUUACUGGGCGUAAAGCGUGCGCAGGCGGUUAUUUAAGUCAGGUGUGAAAGCCCUGGGCUUAACCUAGGAAUUGCGCUUGAGACUGGAUAGCUUGGAGUGCGGCAGAGGGAGGUGGAAUUCCACGUGUAGCAGUGAAAUGCGUAGAGAUGUGGAGGAACACCGAUGGCGAAGGCAGCCUCCUGGGCAG
rnacentral:rRNA from 1 species